rnacentral:rRNA from 1 species
AUUGAACGCUGGCGGCAGGCCUAACACAUGCAAGUCGAGCGAGCGGCGGACGGGUGAGUAAUGUAUGGGGACUGUCCGUUAGAGGGGGGUAACUACUGGAAACGGUAGCUCAUACCGCACACUACAGGAUUACCCCAAUGGUAUUAGCUAGUAGGUGAGGUAAUGGCUCACCUAGGCGACGAUCCCUAGCUGGUCUGAGAGGAUGAUCAGCCACACUGGGACUGAGACACGGCCCAGACUCCUACGGAGGCAGCAGUUGGGAAGAUUGCACAAUGGGCGCAAGCCUGAUGCAGCCAGGCCUCGUGUAUGAAGAAGGCCCUAGGGUUGUAAAGUACGUUCAGUCGGGAGGCGUUACCGACAGAAGAAGCACCGGCUAACUCCGUGCCAGCCGCCGCGGUAAUUC